CCUACGGGAGGCAGCAGUGAGGAAUAUUGGUCAAUGGGAGAGAUCCUGAACCAGCCAAGCCGCGUGAGGGAAGACGGCCCUAUGGGUUGUAAACCUCUUUUGUCGGAGAACAAAACCCGGGACGUGUCCCGGACUGCGUGUAUCCGAAGAAAAAGCAUCGGCUAACUCCGUUCCAGCAGCCGCGGUAAUACGGAGGAUGCGAGCGUUAUCCGGAUUUAUUGGGUUUAAAGGGUGCGUAGGCGGUCCGUUAAGUCAGCGGUAACAUUGCGGGGCUCAACCCCGUCGAGCCGUUGAAUCUGGCCGACGUGAGUUGGCGAGAAGUACGCGGAAUGCGCGGUGUAGCGGUGAAAUGCAUAGAGAUCGCGCAGAACUCCGAGUGCGAAGGGAGCGGACCGGCGCCAGACCGACGCUGAGGCACGAAAGCGUGGGGAUCGAACAGGAUUAGAUACCCUGGUAGUC
rnacentral:rRNA from 1 species